rnacentral:rRNA from 1 species
GUUGAAGGUUGGGUAACACUAACUGGAGGACCGAACCGACUAAUGUUGAAAAAUUAGCGGAUGACCUGUGGCUGGGGGUGAAAGGCCAAUCAAACCGGGAGAUAGCUGGUUCUCCCCGAAAGCUAUUUAGGUAGCGCCUCGUGAAUUCAUCUCCGGGGGUAGAGCACUGUUUCGGCUAGGGGGCCAUCCCGGCUUACCAACCCGAUGCAAACUGCGAAUACCGGAGAAUGUUAUCACGGGAGACACACGGCGGGUGCUAACGUCCGUCGUGAAGAGGGAAACAACCCAGACCGCCAGCUAAGGUCCCAAAGUCAUGGUUAAGUGGGAAACGAUGUGGGAAGGCCCAGACAGCCAGGAUGUUGGCUUAGAAGCAGCCAUCAUUUAAAGAAAGCGUAAUAGCUCACUGGUCGAGUCGGCCUGCGCGGAAGAUGUAACGGGGCUAAACCAUG